rnacentral:rRNA from 1 species
GACGAACGCUGGCGGCGUGCUUAACACAUGCAAGUCGAACGGAGUUACGUAUGAAGUAUUUCGGUACGGACUACAUAACUUAGUGGCGAACGGGUGAGUAACACGUGGGCAACCUGCCCUUAACCGGGGGAUAACAUUGUGAAAACAGUGCUAAUACCGCAUAACAGAGUAUCGGGCAUCCGAUAUUUUAAAAGGAGCAAUCCGGUUUAGGAUGGGCCCGCGUCCAAUUAGCUAGUUGGUGAGGUAACGGCUCACCAAGGCUACGAUUGGUAGCCGAACUGAGAGGUUGAUCGGCCACAUUGGGACUGAGACACGGCCCAGACUCCUACGGGAGGCAGCAGUGGGGAAUAUUGGGCAAUGGGCGAAAGCCUGACCCAGCGACGCCGCGUGAAGGAUGAAGGUCUUCGGAUUGUAAACUUCUUUGAUCAGGGAAGAAAGAAAUGACGGUACCUGAAGAACAAGCCACGGCUAACUACGUGCCAGCAGCCGCGGUAAACGUAGCGUG